rnacentral:rRNA from 1 species
GAGAGAAAGCUAGUAGUAGGGCCCCUGUGGNGUGAUACCCCCGGCUCCUGGGCCGGGAAAAUUCGCCACCCCUUUCUAUACAGGAAAGUAUUUUUUAUUAUUAAAACGGAUUUUCAGAAGGUNCCANUUGGGGCAGCCUCCUACGGGAAACCCCNUCUCUGGGAACGAAAGAGCCGAGGGGCCCCGUGUUUCGGGGUGUGGCNNACUGCCCAAGGGNAAGGGCCCAAAAGGGGAGGGACCCCCCAGUUAAAUAAAGGCCAAAAGACNAAAAGUNUGAGGGCCCGAAGAAAGGAAGGGGGGUAGUUCCCCCNAGAGCAGAGGCGAAAAAAGAGGGGACCCCCGAGGAGAGGGNGACCCAAAC